rnacentral:rRNA from 1 species
AUUGAACGCUGGCGGCAGGCCUAACACAUGCAAGUCGAACGAGUGGCGGACGGGUGAGUAAUGUCUGGGAAACUGCCUGAUGGAGGGGGAUAACUACUGGAAACGGUAGCUAAUACCGCAUACCAUCAGAUGUGCCCAGGUGGGUGUAGCUAGUGGGGGGGGUAACGGCUCACCAAGGCGAAGAUCCCUAGCCGGUCUGAGAGGAUGACCGGGGACACUGGAACGUGGACACGGGCCAGACUCCUACGGGAGGCAGCAGUGGGGAGUAUUGCACAAUGGGCUCAAGCCUGAUGCAGCCAUGCCGCGUGUAUGAAGAAGGCCUUAGGGUUGUAAAGUACUUUCAGCGGGGAGGCGUUACCCGCAGAAGAAGCACCGGCUAACUCCGUGCCAGCAGCCGCGGUAAUAC